rnacentral:rRNA from 1 species
UACGGAGGGGGCUAGCGUUGUUCGGAAUUACUGGGCGUAAAGCGCACGUAGGCGGCUUUGUAAGUUAGAGGUGAAAGCCCGGGGCUCAACCCCGGAAUUGCCUUUAAGACUGCAUCGCUAGAAUUGUGGAGAGGUAAGUGGAAUUCCGAGUGUAGAGGUGAAAUUCGUAGAUAUUCGGAAGAACACCAGUGGCGAAGGCGACUUACUGGACACAUAUUGACGCUGAGGAGCGAAAGCUGGGGGAGCAAACGGG